ensembl:snRNA U6 U6 spliceosomal RNA
UAUGGUGACACCUAUACUUAAAAAAAAAUGGAACAGUGCAGAGAAGAUUAGCAUUUCCCCAGCAAGGGUAACUUGCAAGUUUAUGAAGCAUUUUGUAUAUUU